UGCACAUGCUCUCCUCGUUCUCGCGCGUUCCGCAAGUUUCCACGCUCGUUCGUGGCGUUGCCGUCGCCGUCAUACUGCUGCGCGCUGCGAGCUACACGCGCGCACCCCUGCACUGUGCUGCUGUGCGUGCCGGCUUCGUCCGGCCGCACCGGCCGUCGCGCCGCCCUGCCCUGCCGCUGGUCGGCCUCGCCGUCAACGGAGCGCCGCCACUCGCCGCGCCAUCGGCCAUGGCCCUGUGUUGGCCACGGUCUCAGUUGGGCCGGUCUAACCCUUAUAACCGGUCUGCCGGUGGGGGUCUUUUUUUUAUUUGACGAAAGCUUGUAGAUUGCAUAACAAUUCAAGAAAAAAUCCUAAAAAUACAAAAUUAGUUUUGUUUGAAUGCUUAGAUCUAAAUCUCCAAGGGAAAAAUAUUAAUUCUUGUGAAAUGACCAUUUUGCCUCUGUUAAAAUUUAGGUUGUGUUAUAGGCUUAUUUAGUUAGUUUCGGCAAAUCUAUUAGUCUAAAAAUUAUGAAAUCUAGGCAGUAGUUUAAUUUAUGUAUGUGUAGUCCACUAUAAAAGUUUCAUGCCUAGAAAACCUAGUUUGAUAUGUUAGUUGGUUCUCCAUGUGUUAGUAUAUCUAUGAGUUAAUGGAUAGUUUAUAUUUGAGAAGAAUUUUGUAAAUGAAAUUAGAACACUGUACUAGUAGAUAGUAUACAUCAUAUUAGAUUUUGCUCAUCACUAGAAUGUGCUCAUGAUUUACUUUAGCGAGUUAUUUUACUUAUGGCAAAUCUAGAUAACUUGUAUUAAAACCAUAUUGCUAGGUUUAAGGCUAAUAUAAUUCUCUUGUGAAUAAAACCCUAUAAAGAUUCUAUAAAAUAGGUUAGUGGUAUCUAGGUACAUCUCUAUCUACGAUUUGCGCACCAAAAGCGGGCACCCGAUAAGGCCACGUCACCCGCUAACCUGCUAGCCGUCGGAUCAAGCCAUGGAGCAACGUGAACUGUCCAAUGCGGUUCGCGGGUCUUUCACCCAUUAACCGAACAAUCAGGCGUUCCAAAGUAUUCGCGAAACCUCCCCAUCUACAGCCCUCUACCCUGCCACGCCCUGUGACGGCGUUCGUCCCCGCCGCUAAAACAGGACCACCGGCUCUCCCGCUUCGCCACCGGCGUGACCGGGCUCCUCCUCGGCGCGACUGGCGAGGCCACGUGGGCCGCCCGCGCCUCGCGGAGAUACCCGCCAGGCCGCCACGGAGGAGAACGGAGGAAGAGGAUGAGCCGCAUCGUCGACCUGCCCGACGGGCACCCGAGCAGAGCUGCCAUGAUGGCGUGCCUCGCGCCCCUCGCCGGUCCGACUCCCCUCCGCUUCUGCUACAGGCACGCGGUGCCAGGCCGGCCUGUGGCAUCUCCUUCUCCCCUUCCCCGCGGUUGCUGGCGGAGCUCGGCACCAUCGGCGACCCGGGCCAAAUGAGAGGUGGCGGGUGGCGCACGCAGCGGCCCAGCGGUGCGACACCAGGAGCAAGGGAGCACCGGCCCGCUUGCGCCGGCACGGCGGAGGAGGCCCCCACGGAAGGGGAUGAUGCCGGCGGUGAUGGAAUCGAGGUCCCGAUUUCCUCCUCCGGCAGAUACAAUUCCCCUUCAAUUGCAGUGGUUAUAAAGAUCAGCGGGGGGGGGGGGGGGCGAUUUGGUCCGUAGUGGAUGCCGUCGCGGCGGGCGCCCGCGCUUUCUCCGAAGUCCGACCUGGAGCUCGAGCCCUUACACGUCGCCGGAGAGCCUCCCCACCUGCCGAAAUCGGCACUGCGAGCCUGGUCCCUUGCUUCUCUGCUUGUAAGGUUCCAGCCGGCCCUGGGACCGCGUGGGCCCUCUGCAGCUCGCCGGCGGUGGCCGCCAUCACCGUGUCCGCCCUUGGCGCCUGGGCGGAGUGAGGUCUCCUGGGUGGCUGGCAACAGUCUGCGAUGCUGGGGUUGCGGCUCAGAUACGUGAGAAUCGCGUGGACGGGUGGCGGCGCGGAGGAGCAAGAAACCACAGAUUGGCUGCAACGCGGUAGCACGGGCCGCCCGUACGCGUGGGCUGCGGCGGCGGGGGUAAUCUGACGAUGACCACGACAACGUCUGCCUCAGCUCCUACUGUCCUAGCACCUACACGACCAUCAGCGACGUGCUCAUCGCCGGGCAUCGAAGAGCCCACGCCAUACGCUGCUUCCUCUGGCACAACCCCGUCAUUCUCAAUCUCACUCACUCACAGUAGCGGUACCAAAACGUUUUGCCCCUGAGCCAAGCUUUCUCUCCCAUCACGUAGAUCUCUGUUUAAAUUUGUGCUGUCCCACUGUACUUCUAUAGCACUAUCGCCUGCUAGAAACCAACCCUCACGCAAACUCUAACCAGUGAAGUUCAAUUUUCCUCUUUCCAAUCCUCUGAUUUACACACAUUAAUGUUAAAUUCUGAUGGAAUCCUGAUGUUCCGCUACAUAUUGUGUACAUAUUUCUUUACCUUCUUCCUCCUAUGUUAUGCUCAUAUACUUCUUCAACAGUUUACAUUUCAGAUUGAUUUACCAACAUAAUAAUUCGGAAUUAUAUAUAUAUACAUAGCCCUCUAUUCAGCAUGUCAUAUUUUCACUAGAUAGUAAUUAUCCGUUUUAAUGUGUAUUUAAAAGAAUUGGUACUAAUGCACUCAUUUGCAUUUCAGAGAAACCAUUGUCUGAAUCAACUGCGAAAACAUCUUUGCCGAAAAGGCAUUCAAACUCAAUAUAUAAUGAGAACAGAACUAAAAUAUUCAUAUUUGCUUUGGCUGUCACGAAUUAUCGGUUGAUUCCAGAUUGUGUUCAUACAAUGUGACCACAUCUGAGAAACAAAUAAAUGGCUGUGCAAUGCUUUCUGAAUUUUAUGCCUAGCGUUUGCAGGCCAAGAAGCACUGUUUUUUGUCCAGUCACUGACAUGGCAUUGUGUAUUUGCUUGGUCAGAUUUCUGAAGUAGGAUUUGAAGGUCUCAUUCAAUAUCUCCAUGAACUUCGUAACAGGAGCAAUACGAUAUCUCGUUCACUUGUCACAAUUUCAAUGAGUCAUCAUGAGUGAUCUUUCACUGUUUUAUUCAAAAUGAUAUCUUCCCGUGGAGCCAAAGAUCUGAUCCAUAAGUUGAUCUUAUUUCUCUCUCCGUUCUCCAAUGAGUAGCAAUGCUACUUUCCCAUUCCUUGCACUCCAACUUUUAAACAUUUGUUUCAGAUAUGAAGCUCUGAAUUAGUCUAUCUGCCGUUGCUUUAAUUACAACAGAAGAGCUUUGACCUUUGAA